GAUGAACGCUGGCGGCGUGCCUAAUACAUGCAAGUCGAGCGAACAGACGAGGAGCUUGCUCCUCUGACGUUAGCGGCGGACGGGUGAGUAACACGUGGAUAACCUACCUAUAAGACUGGGAUAACUUCGGGAAACCGGAGCUAAUACCGGAUAAUAUAUUGAACCGCAUGGUUCAAUAGUGAAAGACGGUUUUGCUGUCACUUAUAGAUGGAUCCGCGCCGCAUUGGCUAGUUGGUAGGGUAACGGCUUACCAAGGCAACGAUGCGUAGCCGGCCUGAGAGGGUGAUCGGCCACACUGGAACGGAGACACGGUCCAGACUCCUACGGGAGGCAGCAGUAGGGAAUCUUCCGCAAUGGGCGAAAGCCUGACGGAGCAACGCCGCGUGAGUGAUGAAGGUCUUCGGAUCGUAAAACUCUGUUAUUAGGGAAGAACAAAUGUGUAAGUAACUAUGCACGUCUUGACGGUACCUAAUCAGAAAGCCACGGCUAACUACGUG
rnacentral:rRNA from 1 species